GGAAUCCGGUAGAAUGCUGUCAAAGUCCCCGCCUGCCUUCUAACACACUUCCUUUGAGUGACAUGGAAUUGGUACUGUUGCUUGUGACGGUGGAGACGUAGUGAGGUAUUAACUUCGAAAACGAAAUCAUUUAGACUUGGAGAGAGAGAGAGAGAAAAAAAUGUCAAUAAUUCCUUUUAGUCUGGGAGCACACUAUAAAACCCCAGGGCCUUAAAAACUUCAACUCUGCCUAUAGCAGUUUACAAAAGUACUAAGCUGCAAUCAAUGUAAAUAAAAUUCUUAGCACUAUCCUGAGACUGAAUUUCAGGCUAAUAAGGAAUCCGGUUUGCAUAUGCUGUCGAAAGGGUGUCAUCCGACCUGGGUUUCACUGGGAAUGCAGCCGCUGGGCAGCGUGGACCCAUCUGGCAUAGAGCAAGCUGCUUUCUUGCUGGUGUUUGUUUUUCCUUUUCUUUUCUUUUUCUUUUCUUUCUUUCUCUUUUUUUUCUUUCUCUGCCCCUUCUCUAGAAUAGUUCUCACUGCCUUACUUAACCCGAGUUGAUGGACUGUGGCUGUCUCUCUGUGGUCCACAGGAGGCCUGGAGACGCUGGUGGAAAAACCGUCUGACCGUAGUGAGCAUUUAGGGUUUUAACUGCACUGCUGUGUUUGGUGAUUGUGCCAGUGGCUUGCUUUCUGUGUGUUUGCCCCACCUGUGGUAUCUUAGCAAAGAAAACUUAAAAAAAAAUAAAAGAAAA
rnacentral:lncRNA from 1 species